rnacentral:misc_RNA from 1 species
GGCAAAUAUAAUGAUUGAAUCACUUGUAGAAUUAAAGCCAUACACAAGCUGAUAUUCUACUCCUCUGAAAAUGAAAAUUACACAUCAAACAAAUUGAGGCAUGUCAACUAGAACAUCUAUUGCAGAACCAUUCUGAAUGUGGCACUAUCGUAUAGUGGGAGUAUUUUCACUUUAGUGUUUAUGAGAGUGUUUCCUACGGUGAUGGUACAUUUCCCCCUUUUCCCUACUUCUCUUCUCUAUGAUCCUAAAAGCACAUGAUAUAAACCCAAUGGCGGCCAUGGGAUAAAAUGUUAUGUAAGGAGCCAAGGCUAAGCCACAAAUAUAGGAAAAGUAUCCAGCAAGAAGAUAGCCAAAGCUCAGGUUUAUCUCCAAUCUUUGGAUGACCGGAAAAGGAAAGAAGAAGAAGAAGUUGAACUCUGGCUUUGAGUCACAUACACCAUGCAGCAAAACACCUAUGCAAAGUAUAGAAUCCAAGAACCACGGCAAGCUAUGACCGAUCCCCAUUCUCUGGAUCCACGCAAUAAAUGAAGGGACAAACAUCAGCAUUGCAAGCAAGUGUAAUACAAGCAAGCCAUGCCGAUGAUUGAAGAUCUCUAAUUGGGUGUCACCAUAGCUUUUUACUGAGUCCAGACUACUGGAAUUACUCUCCUUCUGAGGAACAUGCGUGUUGAUUUCACCAUCAUGCUCGGGUAUGGACUGCUUCGAUCCACUCUGACGUCUGUUCCCAGAUUCUAUGAACUCCUUAGUCUGGGUACGGCUGUGAAAUGAAGCCAUCAAAAAACUGGACAGGGAAUUGUGGGAGCACACAGCAUGAGAAAUGACCAGCAAAAGAAGACCCAAUGCUGGAUGAGCGAAGCACAUUAGGGUCAAAGAGACAAGUGUCAUAUCAAACAAUGGAUUGAAUCUCACGAUCCUGACUACCUUGGAUGACAGGAAGGCAGUGAAAAGAGGAGAAAAGUUAUGUUCCCGUGUUUGCGACCGUUUCUUGAUGAAUACAUGUAAAGAUGCACUAACGUAGAACAACAACUGGGAGGCUGAUAUCAGCACAGCCACCACUCCAUUUGCACAUAAGUAACAGAUUGUUGAGACAGAGAUGAAACUUAUGGCUGGAGGAAGAGGUAGAGAAAUGAGGCAGGAAAGUACAAGAGCAAAUAAGAUAGGUAGCAGGGCCAAACAUAGAAAGGGCAAUGGCAUCCGCAAAUUUGAUUCAACUGCUGUAAGGAGUGAAGGUAUAGGCAGGUCAAGCUCCCAUUGUCGUGCUUGCCGCAUUAAAGCAAAAAAGACAACAGCAAUUGCAAAACCAGUAAUCUGUGGGAAAUAUAAAAGCGAAAAUCUUUUAGCUGCAGAGGUUACAUUAACACCAAUACUUGUUUUGUACGAACAAUGUGGAUCAAUCAGCAAUAUAACGUUGGUCUUUUCUGACCCUAGGCUGGAAGUCCAGAGUGCUGGAGAGGAAUCCACAAGAAUUGUUUCUGAGAACAGAUUAGGAAAAAUAUGAAGACCAGACGUGAAAUCCCAAGCAAUUGCUACAGGAGGGAAACAGCGAAGUUUACACAGCCUGUCAAUUUCCAUCUCUCCAGUUUCAUCAGCAGUGAACUCUGACUUUCUUAUUCCACAACCAGUUGUUUUGACAGAUAACGUCACAGGCAUGAGACCCAAGCUAACAGAGAAAGACAGAUUGAGUGCAAGAGGAUGAUCCUCAUUCAACGUCAUCUCCUGUAAAGAAAACAUAGACCGAAUCAACGACCCAGAAGAUAAGGCUGUUUCUCCGUCUGCUGGUUUAAAAAAUUGCCCAACUCCCAUGGAAGUGGCUGGUGGAGGUCUUCCUGAAACAGCCAUGCGAGGUGCCACUGAGAUGGUCAGAUAUCUGAAACCACGCAUAUCCUCUGGGUGCAACCAAAAUACAGCAGAGGGAGGUGCCUGCUCAGUCUGAGUACCUGGUUCAACCUGCCUCGGAGCUGGUCCAGAUGGAAUUUGCACCAUCUUUGAUGUAACUUCUAAAACCCGUUUAUUGAUCGGUAAAGUGGAAACUUCAGUUCCUUUCUCAGGCCAAAGGUGCAGUCGUACACCGGAACAUGGAGAAAGAUUUGUGACAAAAACAAAAUGGUUUUUGCCGUUAGACCCCAAC